rnacentral:rRNA from 1 species
UACCAGCACCCCGAGUGGUCGGGACGAUUAUUGGGCCUAAAGCAUCCGUAGCCGGUUCUGCAAGUCUUCCGUUAAAUCCACCUGCUCAACAGAUGGGCUGCGGGGGAUACUACAGGGCUAGGAGGCGGGAGAGGCAAGCGGUACUCGGUGGGUAGGGGUAAAAUCCUCUGAUCCACCGAAGACCACCAGUGGCGAAGGCGGCUUGCCAGAACGCGCUCGACGGUGAGGGAUGAAAGCUGGGGGAGCAAACCGGAUUAGAUACCCUGUAGUCC